rnacentral:rRNA from 1 species
UACGAAGGGGGCUAGCGUUGUUCGGAAUUACUGGGCGUAAAGCGCGCGCAGGCGGUCUUCCAAGUCAGUGGUGAAAGCCUGGAGCUCAACUCCAGAACUGCCAUUGAAACUGUUAGACUUGAGUACGAGAGAGGUGAGUGGAAUUCCCAGUGUGGAGGUGAAAUUCGUAGAUAUUGGGAAGAACACCAGUGGCGAAGGCGGCUCACUGGCUCGUAACUGACGCUCAGGCGCGACAGCGUGGGGAUCAAACAGG